rnacentral:misc_RNA from 1 species
GAAAAGACUAGCAAAUUCUUCUUGAAGCAAGUCAAAAAGUUGGUGAAAUCAAGAUGCAAUCAAAUAACAGCAAGAAAUUAUCGAGUCAUAGCUCAAUCAGAUCUAACAGAUCCGUAGUCAACUCCUCUUAGGAACUCUUCUUUCAUCAUGCAAAAUCUAGAGUGGUUUGUGGAUAAAAAAGUUUUUGUGGUCGGAUUGACA